rnacentral:rRNA from 1 species
GAUGAACGCUGGCGGCGUGCCUAAUACAUGCAAGUCGAGCGAACGGACGAGAAGCUUGCUUCUCUGAUGUUAGCGGCGGACGGGUGAGUAACACGUGGAUAACCUACCUAUAAGACUGGGAUAACUUCGGGAAACCGGAGCUAAUACCGGAUAAUAUAUUGAACCGCAUGGUUCAAAAGUGAAAGACGGUCUUGCUGUCACUUAUAGAUGGAUCCGCGCUGCAUUAGCUAGUUGGUAAGGUAACGGCUUACCAAGGCAACGAUGCAUAGCCGACCUGAGAGGGUGGUCGGCCACACUGGAACUGAGACACGGUCCAGACUCCUACGGGAGGCAGCAGUAGGGAAUCUUCCGCAAUGGGCGAAAGCCUGACGGAGCAACGCCGCGUGAGUGAUGAAGGUCUUCGGAUCGUAAAACUCUGUUAUUAGGGAAGAACAUAUGUGUAAGUACCUGUGCACAUCUUGACGGUACCUAAUCAGAAAGCCACGGCUAACUACGUG